rnacentral:rRNA from 1 species
AUGGGCACGCUUCUCCGCCGCGUCCUCCUCUCCCUCGCGCUCCUCGCCGCUGCCGCGACCCCCGGCGCGGCGGCGGCGGCGGCCAGGCUGUCGACGUCGUACUACAGCCGCAGCUGCCCCCGCGUGGAGCAGAUCGUCUCGGACGUGGUCGCCGCCAAGCAGCACGCCAACCCGUCCACGGCGGCGGGCACGCUGCGCCUCUUCUUCCACGACUGCUUCGUCUCCGGCUGCGACGCCUCCGUCCUCGUCUCCCCGCUCUCCUCGGACCGUACCCCGGAGCGCGCCGCGGAGAUCAACCUGUCCCUCCCGGGGGACGCCUUCGACGCCGUGGCCCGCGCCAAGGCCGCGCUGGAGGCCGCCUGCCCGGGCACCGUCUCCUGCGCCGACAUCCUCGCGCUGGCCGCGCGCGACCUGGUGGGGAUCCUGGGCGGGCCGCGGUUCCCCGUCCUCCUCGGCCGCCGCGACGCGCGCCGCUCCGACGCGCGCGACGUGGAGGGCAACCUCCCGCGCACCAACAUGUCGGCGCGCGCCAUGACGGUCCUGUUCGCGCGCAAGGGCAUCACGCCGCAGGAGAUGGUGGCGCUGGCGGGCGCCCACACCGUGGGCUUCUCCCACUGCUCCGAGUUCGCGCACCGGGUGUACAACUACAAGGGCAAGGGCAGCGGCGCCGGGCACGACCCGUCGCUGAACCCGGAGUUCGCGCGGGCGCUGCAGAGCUCCUGCGCCGGCUACGAGAGCAACCCGGACAUCUCCAUCUUCAACGACAUCGUGACGCCGCGGGACUUCGACGAGCUCUACUUCAAGAACCUGCCCCGUGGCCUCGGGCUGCUCGCCUCCGACGCCGCGCUGUGGGAGUACCCGCCCACCAAGGUGUUCGUCCAGCAGUACGCCGACAACCGGACCGCCUUCUUCCAGGACUUCGCCAAGGCGAUGCAGAAGCUCGGCACCGUCGGCGUCAAGACGGGACGGCAGGGCGUCGUCAGGCGGCAGUGCGACAUCCUCGACUGA